AUGGUUAAUCAUGUUCAAAUUCAGAUGGAGUUCAGAGGCCCAAGGGUGGCAUACUUGGGCAAUCAUCAAAGGCAAGCAGACCAUGACCAAGUUCUAAAGUGUUGUUUGAUAUGGAGGAGCAGGUCUAAGAUAGAGUCAUGGAAGAGGAUUUUCUCCAGUUCAUCCGUCUUGUUUAUAAUAGAAAUCUUGAUUCAGUGUUUAGAAGCAUAUUAUUCCUCUUAAAGAAAAUAUAAUAUUGGAUAAAAAGGGUUGUUAGAAGGCAAGUGAAUUCAAAUUUAUGGUAUUUGACCUUUUUUCUUUAUUUUUUCAAGACUUUUUGCUAUCAUUUUGAGCCAGAAUCACUUUAUUUGAAGAAUUUUGUUCUUUUCAAACUGGAACAAUAAAGUAAUCCAUUCUCCCUAAUUCUGGAUAAUU
rnacentral:lncRNA from 1 species